UUAGUGGCGGACGGGUGAGUAACGCGUGGAUAACCUGCCGUAUACAGGGGGAUAACACUUAGAAAUAGGUGCUAAUACCGCAUAAGCGCACGGUUCCGCAUGGAACAGUGUGAAAAAACUCCGGUGGUAUACGAUGGAUCCGCGUCUGAUUAGCCAGUUGGCGGGGUAACGGCCCACCAAAGCGACGAUCAGUAGCCGGCCUGAGAGGGUGAACGGCCACAUUGGGACUGAGACACGGCCCAAACUCCUACGGGAGGCAGCAG
rnacentral:rRNA from 1 species